rnacentral:rRNA from 1 species
AGAAUUUGAUCCUGGUUCAGGACGAAUGCUAUCGGCGUGCCUAAGUCAUGCAAGUCGAACGGACAUUUAUAAGUUUGCGGAGCAAUCCAAAAACGAAUUUUUGUUAGUGGCGAACGGCUGAGUAAUACGUAGGAAUCUACCCUAAACUCGGGAAUAAGCCGGCGAAAGCUGGUCUAAUGCCCGAUGUGGUGGCAACAUCAAAGCUUUUGCGGUUUAGGAUGAGCCUGCGGCCUAUCAGCUAGUUGGUGGGGUAAAAGCCUACCCAGGCUAUGACGGGUACCGGAUGUUAGCGCAUGUACCGGCAGAAGGGCACUGAGACACGGGCCCUACUCCUACGGGAGGCAGCAGUGAGGAAUAUUGCACAAUGGGCGAAAGCCUGAAGCAGCGACGCCGAUUGGGGGAUGAAGGCCUUCGGGUUGUAAACUCCUGAAAAUAGCACCGGCUAACUACGUGCCAGCAGCAGCGGUCAUACGUAGGGUGCGAGCAUUGUCCGGAUUUACUGGGCGUAAAGAGUUCUGUAGGCGGUUUUGUAAGUCGAGUAUUAAAUCUUUCAGCUCAACUGGAAGUCUGUUUUCGAAACUACAUAACUAGAGGUGGCUAGGGGUCAGCGGAACUUAUGGUGGAGCAGUGAAAUGCGUUGAUAUCAUAGGGAACACCUAGGGGGAAGCCAGCUGACUGGGGCCAUUCUGACGCUAAGAGACGAAAGCUAGAGUAGUGAAACAGAUUAGAUACCCGUGUAAUUCUAGCUGUAAACGAUGCCUGCUAGAUACUUGGUUUAACUGAGUGUCGAAGCUAACGCGUUAAGCAGGCCGCCUGGGGAGUACGGUCGCAAGACUAAAACUCAAAGGAAUUGGCGGGGACCCGCACAAGCGGUGGAGCAUGCUCUUUAAUUCGUUGAUAACCGAAGAACCUUACCAGGGCUUGACAUGUAACUGCAAAUCCAGUGGAAGCUGGACUCCUUCGAGGGUGUUACACAGGUGUUGCAUGGCUGUCGUAAGUCCGUGCCGUGAGGCGUACCCUUAAGUGGGUCAACGAACGAAACCCUUACUGCUAGUUGUAUCACUCUAGCGGAACUGCCGUCGCAAGACGGAGGAAGGUGGGGAUGACGUCAAGUCGGUAUUGCCCUUACGCCCUGGGCUAGAAGCAUGCUACAAUGGCGCGUACAACGGGCUGCAAUGCGGUAACGCAAAGCUAAUCCUAAAAGCGCGUCCCAGUUCGGAUUGAGGUCUGAAAUUCGACCUCAUGAAGUUGGAAUCGCUAGUAAUCGCUGGUCAGCUAUACAGCGGUGAAUACGUUCUCGGGUCUUGCACACACUGCCCGUCUCGUCAACAAAGCUGGGGCUACCUUAAGUCCUGCGUGUAGUGGGCCCAAGGUAGAAUCAGUGAUGAGGAUGAAGUCGAAACAAGGUA